UGUGCAGGCGGCUUUGUAAGUCAGUGGUGAAAGCCCGGAGCUCAACUCUGGAAUUGCCAUUGAUACUGCAAAGCUUGAGUUCGGUUGAAGUAGGCGGAAUGUAGCAUGUAGCGGUGAAAUGCUUAGAUAUGCUACAGAACACCGAUUGCGAAGGCAGCUUACUAAACCGUUACUGACGCUGAUACACGAAAGCGUGGGGAGCGAACAGGAUUAGAUACCCUGGUAGUCC
rnacentral:rRNA from 1 species